GACGAACGCUGGCGGCGUGCCUAAUACAUGCAAGUAGAACGCUGAAGGAAGGAGCUUGCUCUUUCCGGAUGAGUUGCGAACGGGUGGGUAACGCGUAGGUAACCUGCCUGGUAGCGGGGGAUAACUAUUGGAAACGAUAGCUAAUACCGCAUAACAGUAGAUGUUGCAUGAUAUCUACUUAAAAGGUGCAAUUGCACCACUACCAGAUGGACCUGCGUUGUAUUAGCUAGUUGGUGAGGUAACGGCUCACCAAGGCGACGAUACAUAGCCGACCUGAGAGGGUGAUCGGCCACACUGGGACUGAGACACGGCCCAGACUCCUACGGGAGGCAGCAGUAGUGAAUCUUCGGCAAUGGACGGAAGUCUGACCGAGCAACGCCGCGUGAGUGAAGAAGGUUUUCGGAUCGUAAAGCUCUGUUGUAAGAGAAGAACGAGUGUGAGAGUGGAAAGUUCACACUGUGACGGUAUCUUACCAGAAAGGGACGGCUAACUACGUG
rnacentral:rRNA from 1 species